UGGGUACCGAGACCUGGUGCUAAUACGGCACCGGUGCCUUAACGACCGGUAUCUACUGGACCGAAUAGCAAUGCGGAUUUCGGUGCUACUGACAUGCCA